UACAGAGGGGGCAAGCGUUAUUCGGAAUUAUUGGGCGUAAAGGGCGCGUAGGCGGCCUGGCAAGUGGAAGGUGAAAUCCCUCGGCUUAACCGAGGAACUGCCCUCCAAACUGCUUGGCUUGAGUCCGGGAGAGGUGAGUGGAAUUCCCAGUGUAGCGGUGAAAUGCGUAGAUAUUGGGAGGAACAUCAGUGGCGAAAGCGGCUUCCUGGACCAGUACCGACGUUCAGGCACGAAAGCGUGGGGAGCAAACAGG
rnacentral:rRNA from 1 species